GGCAACCCACUCCAGUGUUCUUGCCUGGAGGAUCUGAGGGACGGGGGAGCCUGGUGGGCUGCCGUCUAUGGGGUCGCACAGAGUCAGACACGACUGAAGCGACUUAGCAGCAGCAGCAGCAGUUGUAACCUAUGAAAUUGAUUUCAUUAUCUACUAGUAGGUGUUGACAUUUGUUUCUAAAAAGAAAAAAAAAAAAACAAAAACCCUUAUAGAGGAACUGAUACUUAUGGAAUAUUUUCUGUUGGUCAGGCACUUCACUAGGCAUUUUAUAGGUAAAGAAACUGGGUCUCAGAGAAACUAAUUUGCAGACAGUUAAUUCAACUGCAAAAAGGUGAAGUCAGGAUGUAAACUAGGUCUGUUGAACUACAAAAACUUCUGUACUCUCAUACUGUGCUGCUUCUGUAUAUAAAAUUGUGAUGAGCUAGUCACUCUGCUUCACCCAAACACCCAUAUAUUCUGUAAGGUAGGCUUGGUUUGAAAUUAUGUGUGCCAUUCAUUUACACUUUUCUUAAAAUCUUCUUUUUCCUCACCAAAUGUCCAGCAACCUCAGAGUUUUUAAUGGUUCAGACAGUAAAGAAUUUGCCUUCAGUGUAGGAGAACAGGGUUCAAUUCCUGGGUUGGGAAGAUCCCCUGGAGAAGGGAAUGGCUACCCACUCCAAUAUUCUUGCCUGGAGAAUUCCAUGGAUAGAGGUGCCAGGUGAGGCUGCAGUCCUUAGGGUCACAGAGAGUUGGACACAGCUGAGCGACUAACACAAACACAUGCAAUGCAGAAGUACAUAGUGCUGAAUCUGGUCCUUAGACUAUAAAAGUGUUUCCAUCCCACACAUAUCCUACACAUUUCCUUAUCUUUGUGGAUCAUAGUUAUCACUUAAGCAGUGUUUUUUAUAUUGCAUUUUAAAAUAAGCUCUGAAGUAAUGUUUUAAAACAAUUAUAACUCAUAGAGUCAAGUUAUUAUCCUUUACCAUGGUACCCUUGGGAGGCCAUGUACUUACUGUAGUGAUGCUAGUAUUACUUAGAAUAUUUUUGAAACUUUUCUUUUGGAAUUGGCUUUGAAGACAUUUUACAAAUCAUGUAAAAAAGCCACCUCAGUGUUUAUUAGUCACAGAUUGUCCUCCUUUAUCCUUAUGACGUCUUCUUUCCUUAGUUUUGCUUUUCUUGUGCUGAUUUAGCUCUUCUACCCACCUGUGCAGGAGCCAAUACCCUAAGAAGCCCUAGAAGAUGGGUGUGUUGGCCAGAGUUCCAGGAGCAAGAAUUUUAGGUUAUACUGAAACUGAGUGCUGUAUAGGGAGAAUUCUGUGAAUCCAAAAACCACCCUCUGUGGGCUGCAUAAGUGCCAUAAGUAAUUUGCACAGGGGUAAGGACUGAAGUAUCUAUGAAUCACAAAAGGCUGUAGAAACUUAAGUAUAAACAAUUGUGUACAGCAUUUUUCUCCAGUGAAAGUCACAGAAGCCAAACCAAGCCAUUCUUUGUUCUCAGGGUCCCCUUUGCCCUUCAUUGCUGCCACUCAAAAUCUCUGGGAAGAAGGACAAAAAAGAACUUGGGGAAAUGGUUCUCCUGUAAAACGGCAUUUUCUUCUCUUGUGAUGAAGUAUGACAUGGUGGUGGCUAUCAGUGCUCGAAACUUUAAUUAGUGAGAGGCCUAAUAAAAAAUAGGGAAGCUUCCCUACUAGCCUAAAUUAAUGUAAACAGGUCAGGUUUUGUUUGUGUUUUUAUCAACACGUCAUGUUUCUAACAGGAGUUUCUUACUAUUUAUGCUGAUUAAUUUGACACCAUUUUACAAAGACACUUAUUGGGUAUUAUAAACAGUCAAUGGUAAAAGAUCCAUAUAUUAUCUAUAUUACUGCCCUCAGAGAUUAUUGGUAUAGACAAGUAAAACAUCUAUGCAAUAUUAACAAAAAUAAAUUUAUUUAAAAACAUGAAAGGUGUCAAAGGCAAGUGAUCUCCCCAAGGUUAAAGCUACUUAACACAAAAGUUAGAAUUAUAACCAUGGUUCAAGAAAAAAAAUUCUCAAAUAAUUUAACUGAGUUUCUGUUAUGCCGUAUCAAGUUGCUUGCUGAAGUUUGUGGUCUUUCAGACCAACAUUAACAUUCCAAAUCAGUCAACAGCUCUAGUGGAAAGAGAAUUCACUGGGGAAUCAGGUCAGGGUUUUAGUUUCGUCUUUGUCUAUUGUAGUAAGCUUUUACUCAGGGUGGCUGCUUUCUCCCAUUCUCUAGCCAGGGAUUCCCCCAACCUAACAUUGUCCAUUCUUUAUAUUUAGCCUCCUCCUGGGUCUUGUCAACUGUUUGAAUAUUAGUUUUUUUCAUUUCUUACAUCUAUUCAUAGCCAUCACUCUAGUAAAAGACUAUAUUACUUCACAUCCCCUACCUCAUCCUCCCCAACCUUAGACCAUUCUUCACAUCACUGCCACAAAAGUCAUCUUUUAUUUUUUGCUGAAAUAUUUUCAGCAGCUCCUAUUGAAUAGCCGAUCAAGUUUUUCCCUUCCAUAUUUUGGCCCCAGCUUGUCUCUUCAGACUCACUACUCACCAUAUGACAGUGCCACUGAAAACCAGACAUUCUAUAAGAAUGAUUUUAAGGUUUUUCUAUGGUGAAGGGACAAAAUGGUUAUAAACUAUGUUUACAUUUUUUCCAGACUAAUUUCUGUAACAUUACAUUUUACAAAACUAACCAGCUGAGUUUUGUUUAAGCUUUUGAACAAGCCUAAAAGUUGUUUCCUAAGGAGAAGAAAUCUUUUGUCACCCCCCCCAAGAAGAAAGUAUAUUCAAUUUCUUAACCUUCAAACAAUGUCAGUCUUGCCACCUGUGCAUUGGAUAGCCAAAACCGUGAGGAUUUUAAUUUAGCAGCAUAGAUACUCCAGACUAGAAUUGACUGUUGUCAAGCUCCUCUGAGAAACUUGACUGAUCAAUAUUUGAGGAAAGCACUCAAGAGUACUUCUUAAGUACUAGAGAUUAGUAUUUCUCAAGUACUAGAGAUUGGUUAAUCACUAAAAAAGAUGUUUACCUGGGUUUCAUUAAUUAACCCCCCAGUGAUGUCUUCCAUUUUAUUAUUAAAACCUUUGGUGUUAGCAAGGGUCAGCACAAGAAAAGGCCCAACAGAGAAUUUCUACAAUUCUGUAAAGCCUCCUGAAUUCACUUGUGUUGCUGAGUGGUGCUUAUAUAAGGAAACAUGCAAUAAAUUCACUUGUUCAACAAACAUUUAACUGAAUGCCUGUUGUAUGUUGGGUGUCAGUGCCAUAUGUAGAAAAAUAUUAGACCUAUAGAAUCUACCCUUAUAAACCAUUCAGGCUAAUGAAUUCAGACACUCAAAGCAAGUAAAUCACCAUAAAACAUGGUAAGUACCCUAAAAAAGGAGAGCAAAGUAUGAAGAUACAGAGAAUGGAGUAACUUGUUCUGCCUGGAAAAGAAGGGGAGGACUUUGUAGAACAUGGGGUAUUUGAGCAGUGCUCCGAAGAAGAAUAUGCCUGACUGAAGACUGGAUUUGUAAGCUUUUAAAUGGCAAAAGAAUUGCAAGUAGAAAGGGUUCAAAACAUGAACAAGUAUAGUGUGCUUAGAGAAAACGAAGGAGUUAAAUGUGACUGAUGAAGCUGGUUAGACGAGUAUACAGACCAGGGUAGUUUUUAUACCUGUGUGUAUGUAUUUAAUAUAUACAUUUAAUAAUUAUUUGUUUAAAUGGAUUCUUUGUAUCAGAUAAGAUUGUUACAACCCUCUAAGUUCUUUGCUUUGCCUUCCUUGCCAGAGAAGUUAGUAAUAAAACUCACCUUUGCCUGGGCUCUUGGUACAUUCAGCAUAUUUGCUUUUCUUCCCCACGUGUAAGAAAUGAUUUGUGCUUUCUUGCCUCUGUUGUGAGAUCCCCUGCUUGACACAGAAUGUCUGCUUUCUUCCUAUCCUGUUAUUCAUUCCGUAAAUAUUUAUUGAAAACCCACUGAGAAAAUAGUCAUGAAAUUUACUUUUGCUUUUUUAGUGUCCAAGACCUUCAUGGCCCAGUUUCCCUUCUCUAUGAAUGAAUGAUGCAACAGAAGAAAUCUGGAAAACAUCUCUGGGACUUGGAUAUCAUGAACUGAAAAUUUCAGAAUUUGGAGAAUGUCAUGGAUAUGAAAUUGUGAGACUGGCUUCUUUUAUCCAUCCCCUUUGUUGCAUGCAUAAAAAUGCAUGUUCUUUUAUUCAUUGAAUAGCAUUCCAUUGAGUGGAUAUACCACAACUGGUUUAUCCAUUCACCCAAUGAAAGACACUGGUUCUUUCAAGACUUUGGUGAUUGUAAACAAUGCUACCACAAAUGUCUGGGCAUAGAUUUUUGUGUGAACAUAAGUUUCUCUAGGUAAAAUACUAGGUUAUAUGCAUGGUGUAUGUUUGACUUUUUAAGAAAGUGCCAAAUUGUCUUCCAGAGUGGCUGUAUCAUUUUUGCAGUCCCACUAGCAAUGUAUGAGAGUUCCUUUUGCUCCAUAUGUCAAUUAUACCUCUGUUAAGCUGGAAAAAAAUGGGGGACAUAUAAUUUGGAGUGGAGAGGGAAUCGAUCUAUGUGGGUUGAGCCAAUCAGAUGUCUACAGAAUGUAGGCCAAGGGGUUUAAGGAAUGCAAUCAGAUGAUUUGAUGAGAGUUAAAAAGUCAUACAGAGUUCAGGCUACGUCCCAUCAUGGUAAAUCAGAACAGCGUCCAGGCAGAAGUUACAGCAGGGCAGAGGAAAAGCUGCUCUACAGAGAGGAGGAUGGGGCAGAUGUGAAGUCAGAGCCCAGAGAAGAGCUCCUGGGCCCCAGAGGAAGGGAAGAAGAAAGCAGCUGCCCAGCACUUGCAGUGGGUCAGCCUAGCUCCCCUCAAGCAGUUCCCUUCCUUGUCAUUUUCUUAAUAGUUUUUCAGCAUAAACCCCUUGGUUUUGAGCUUCACCGGGUGAGUUAUUUUGUUCCUUGAAACUGCAAAUACUUAACAGCAGAACUAUCCAACACAACUUGUGUGACGAUUGAAAAAUACUGUAUAUCUAUGCUGUCAAAUACAGGAACCAUUACCUGCAUGUGGCAACUGAGCACUUGAAAUGGGUUUAGAGUAAGUGAGAAACUAAAUUUUUAAUUUAUAUCAUUUAAAUUAAUUUAAUGUAAACUUAAGUAUCUAUAUAGGGCUAUUAACUAUCACAUUGGAUAGCACAGCACUAUGCCUUUUGACAAAGGCUCAAAAACAAGAAGCACAGUCAGUAAAAGACAAUGAAAGAGCCGUUUCCCCUCUACCAACAAAGGGAAAAUCAUGAUGGGGAAAGUGUCCCAUAGCACCGAAACUACAAGGAUGUUACUGAGGAUGAAUCAAGUAAAGUCCCAUUAGUAGCAGUGGUAUUUUUUCAUGGGAAAAACCUGGAUUUCAAACAACAGAGGUUAUUAGACAAAUCAUGAAACAAUCCAUUCAAAGGCAAGCUAUCUGGCCACUAGAAAUAAUGGAAAAAUACUGAUGAAUGGGAAGAUGUUUGUAAUGUGUGGAUAAGUUAAAAAGAAAAUUUAUAAAAUAGCAUGGUUCCAAUUUUAUAACACAUACAUAUAUCUAGAUCUCUUUUGUGGAUUUAUAGGUGAUUUUUAUUCUUUGGCAUUUUAUCAACUUUAAGAAUUAUCCACAAAGAAAAUACUUUUAUAAUCAGAAAUAAAGGACAAAUUAUAUGCUUAACAGAUACAUAGAGAGCAGACAUCUUUGCCUGGUUCUUGACGUUAAGAGGAAAGCAUUCAGUCUUUUACCAUUAAAUAUGAUAUUAGCUGUGUGUUCUCUGUAAAUGUCCUUUACAUUUACAGAGAUUUACAUUUACAAGAUUGAGGAAGUUUCCAUAUAUUCCCAGUUUCUUAAGCAUUUUUGUCAUGAUGGAUAUUGAAUUUUGUCAAAUGCUUCUUGUGUAUGUUGAUGUAAUCAGUAUAUGCCUAAUUACUCAUUGAUUUUUGAAAGCUGGAAGGAAAUGGCAACCCACUCCAGUAUUCUUGCUUGGAAAAGCCCAUGGAUGGAGGAGCCUGGUAGGCUACAGUCCACGGGGUCACAAAGAGUCGGACACGACUUAGCGACUUCACUAAUGACUAAAUGUACCAGCCUUGCCUACUUGGGACAAAGCCCACUUGGUUGUUGCUAUAUUAUUCUUUUUUCACUAAUUGCUGGAUUCAAUUUCCUAGUAUUGUUUACUACUUUUUAACUCAACUUAUACAAUAGUUUGAACUCAUUCAAUGUAUCUUGUCAUUUAAGUUACUUCUUUGAGCUUCAGCUUUCUGAUAUGUGAAGUGAGAACAACUGUUUUAUUUAUCUAACUGUAUUGUUUUUAUAGUCACAGACUUGGAUUUAAAUCCAAAUAUAUUAGUGCCUAUAAUAAUCACAUGACUGAGCGACUGAACUGAAGAAUCAUAGCUACCCCACUAAACACUAGCCAUGUAUCAGACACUGUUCUAAGAGUUAUACACAUUCAUUUAAUACUCACAACAACUCUGUUAACUAGGUAAAAUUAUUAUCAUUCCUGUUUCACGAUGAGGAAACAGAGGCAUAAAGGUCUUAGGAAACUGCCCAGGGUGAUAGAACUAAUAGAUAGCAGACUGGGUCCAGAGUCUGCACGUAACCACUGUACUCCACUGCCUCUUUAGUGACUCCACUUCAGUGAAGUUUCUAAAUCUUGCAGAGCUUAACUUAUUGAUUAUAAAGUAGAAAUAAUAUCUACCUUCUAAACUUGUUAUAGAUUAACUGAGAACACAUAUAAAAGUAUAAAGUAGGGCUGGUACAGUGCCUGGCUCUGUCAGUGCUUGAUGUCUGUUUUGCUGGCAAAACCAAAUAAGGUAAAAAUAUAUUGGAAUGAUCUGAAAAGUAAAGUACUUAUAAAUACUACAUAGCAAGAUCAGGUGUACAAAAAGUAUGUUAUAGGAAUAUAAAAAUGGUAUUUAGGGACCUGGACCACUGUAUAUGUAUCAGCCCAGUGGCUGAUAGACACACUCAGAGAAUUAAAACUACAGAGAUGAAUAGGAGAGGUAGAGAAUAGGGCAGAUGAGUAACUGAUAAAUAUUAGGAUAUAUUCCAGAUAUAUACAUUCAGAAUAGUCAAACUCUUAAUCUUAUAACAAGUGAUGAAACUAAAAGCAAAUUAAAAGCAUUUAAUGAACAUCUACUAAUGCCACCACAAAGCACUUAGUAUAGCAAGAGAUGAUGAAAACUAAAUAUUUGCCUUUUAAAAAGAUUCUCAGGGUAAAAAAUCUGCCUGCCAGCGCAGGAGACAUGGGUUCGAUCCCUGGUCCAAGAUCCCACAUUCCUCGAAGCAACUAAGCCUGUAUGUGACAAUAACUGAACCUGUGCUCGAGUCUAUGAGCCACAACUGUCAAGCCCGUGUGCUGCAACUACUGAAGCCCUUACACCCUAAAGUCCGUGCUUGGCAACAAGAGAAGCCGCUGCAAUGGGAAGCCUGUGCACUGCAAUGAAGAGUAGCCCCCAGUCACCAUAGCUGGACAAAAGCUGGCACAGCAAUGAAGACCCAGCACAACCAUAAAUAAAACUAUACACACACAUAA